rnacentral:rRNA from 1 species
UACGUAGGCAGCAAGCGUUGUUCGGAAUUACUGGGCGUAAAGAGUGUGUAGGCGGUGCUCUAAGUUUGGUGUGAAAUCUCCCCGGCUCAACUGGGAGGGUGCGCCGAAAACUGGAAUGCUUGAACAUGGGAGAGGAAAGCGGAAUUCCUGGUGUAGCGGUGAAAUGCGUAGAUAUCAGGAGGAACACCUGCGGUGUAGACGGCUUUCUGGACCAUUGUUGACGCUGAGACACGAAAGCGUGGGUAGCAAACAGG